GUACUGAUGAAGAGUCCCAAACAAUGACGAAACAGCUGUCCAGUAC
rnacentral:hammerhead_ribozyme from 1 species